UUCCGGUUGAUCCUGCCGGACCCUACUGCUAUCGGGGUGGGACUAAGACAUGCGUGUCGCCCAAGCCUCGUGGCAUACGGCUCAGUAACACGUGGCUAACCUACCCUCGAGACAGGGACAACCCCGGGAAACUGGGGCUAAUCCCAGAUAGAUGAGAACCCCUGGAAUGGGUUUUCGUCCAAAAGGCGUGUCGCUCAAGGAUGGGGCCGCGUCCGAUCAGGCUGUUGGUGAGGCAAUGGCUCACCAAACCUAUAACCGGUACGGGCCGUGGGAGCGGGAGCCCGGAGAUGGGAACUGAGACAAGGUCCCAGGCCCUACGGGGCGCAGCAGUUACGAAAACUUGUCAAUGCACGAAAGUGUGAACGGGCUACCCCGAGUGCCGUCCGCUGAGGAUGGCUUUUCUCUGCUGUAAGAAGGCGGAGGAAUAAGGCGAGGGCAAGUCUGGUGUCAGCCGCCGCGGUAAUACCAGCUCGCCGAGUGGUAGGGAUGAUUAUUGGGCCUAAAGCGUCCGUAGCCGGCCUAUCAAGUCUCUUGUUAAAUCCAACGAUUCAAUCGCUGGACUGCAGGAGAUACUGUUAGGCUAGGGGGCGGGAGAAGCCGACGGUAUUUUCGGGGUAGGGGUAAAAUCCUAUAAUCCCGGGAAGACCACCAGUGGCGUAGGCGGUCGGCUAGCACGCGCUCGACGGUGAGGGACGAAAGCUGGGGGAGCGAACCGGAUUAGAUACCCGGGUAGUCUCAGCUGUAAACGAUGCUGGCUAGGUGUUGAAGCGGCUACGAGCCGCUUCAGUGCCGCAGGGAAGCCAUUAAGCCAGCCGCCUGGGGAGUACGGCCGCAAGGCUGAAACUUAAAGGAAUUGGCGGGGGAGCACCACAAGGGGUGAAGCUUGCGGUUUAAUUGGAUUCAACGCCGGA
rnacentral:rRNA from 1 species